rnacentral:rRNA from 1 species
AACGAACGCUGGCGGCAGGCUUAACACAUGCAAGUCGAACGAUGUAGCAAUACAUAGUGGCGCACGGGUGAGUAACGCGUGGGAAUAUACCUUAUAGUGGGGAAUAACUUCGGGAAACUGAAGCUAAUACCGCAUACGCCCGAGAAGGGAAAGAUUUAUCGCUAUAAGAUUAGCCCGCGUGAGAUUAGGUAGUUGGUGGGGUAAUGGCCUACCAAGCCGACGAUCUCUAGCUGGUCUGAGAGGAUGAUCAGCCACACUGGAACUGAGACACGGUCCAGACUCCUACGGGAGGCAGCAGUGGGGAAUAUUGGGCAAUGGAGGAAACUCUGACCCAGCCAUGCCGCGUGAGUGAUGAGGGCCUUAGGGUUGUAAAGCUCUUUCGCCGAUGAAGAUAAUGACGGUAGUCGGAGAAGAAGCCCCGGCUAACUUCGUGCCAGCCGCCGCGGUAACAC